rnacentral:rRNA from 1 species
GAUGAACGCUGGCGGCGUGCUUAACACAUGCAAGUCGAACGGUGAACACGGAGCUUGCUCUGUGGGAUCAGUGGCGAACGGGUGAGUAACACGUGAGCAACCUGCCCCUGACUCUGGGAUAAGCGCUGGAAACGGCGUCUAAUACUGGAUAUGUGACGUGACCGCAUGGUCUGCGUUUGGAAAGAUUUUUCGGUUGGGGAUGGGCUCGCGGCCUAUCAGCUGGUUGGUGAGGUAAUGGCUCACCAAGGCGUCGACGGGUAGCCGGCCUGAGGGGGUGACCGGCCACACUGGGACUGAGACACGGCCCAGACUCCUACGGGAGGCAGCAGUGGGGAAUAUUGCACAAUGGGCGCAAGCCUGAUGCAGCAACGCCGCGUGAGGGAUGACGGCCUUCGGGUUGUAAACCUCUUUUAGCAGGGAAGAAGCGAAAGUGACGGUACCUGCAGAAAAAGCGCCGGCUAACUACGUG